rnacentral:tRNA from 1 species
CGCGGGGUAGAGCAGUUUGGUCAGCUCGCAAGGGUCAUAACCUUGAGGUCGCUGGUUCGAGUCCAGCCCCCGCUACCA